rnacentral:rRNA from 1 species
GACGAACGCUGGCGGCGUGCUUAACACGUGCAAGUCGUACGGUAAGGCCCUUCGGGGUACACGAGUGGCGAACGGGUGAGUAACACGUGGGUGAUCUGCCCUGCACUUCGGGAUAAGCCUGGGAAACUGGGUCUAAUACCGGAUAGGACCACUGCCUGCAUGGGUGGUGGUGGAAAGCUUUUGCGGUGUGGGAUGGGCCCGCGGCCUAUCAGCUUGUUGGUGGGGUGAUGGCCUACCAAGGCGACGACGGGUAGCCGGCCUGAGAGGGUGACCGGCCACACUGGGACUGAGAUACGGCCCAGACUCCUACGGGAGGCAGCAGUGGGGAAUAUUGCACAAUGGGCGCAAGCCUGAUGCAGCGACGCCGCGUGAGGGAUGACGGCCUUCGGGUUGUAAACCUCCUUCAGCACCGACGAAGCGCAAGUGACGGUAGGUGCAGAAGAAGGACCGGCCAACUACGUGCCAGCCGCCGCCGUAA